rnacentral:lncRNA from 1 species
AUGGCACAUGUUUCUUCAGAAACUCAAGAUGUUUCUCCCAAAGAUGAAUUAACUGGUUCAGAAGCCUCCACUAGGUCUCCAUUUUGUGAACACACGUUCCCUGGGGACUCAGACUUAAGGUCAAUGAUUGAAGAAAAUGCUUUUCCGGUUUUGUCACAAGGAUCCUUGAUAAAAAGGCCACGUUACACAGUUUGUGUCUCUGAGCCAGAUAAAGAUAAUGAUUUUCUUUCUCUGACCUUUCCCAGGAAACUUUGGAAAAUAGCUGAAAGUGACCAAUUCAAGUCUAUUUCGUGGGAUGAGAAUGGAACUUGCAGAGUGAUUAAUGAAGAACUCUUCAAGAAAGAAAUUUUGGAAGAAAGGCUCUUUACAGAAUAUUGGAAACUGACAGUAUGAAAAGCUUAGUUUGACAGCUCAACCUCCAUGUAUUUAGUAAAAUUUGAGAGAAUUUUCAAACAUCUGCUUCUUUGGCCAACUUUCUGGCAGAAGAAAAACAAGUCUCUGUUUUAAGCAAAUUAGAGUUCUCGUAAUCCAAAUUUCAAACAUGACUGUCCCCAACUUUCAGUAAGAAUGAAGAGUUGGGAUUAAAAAUCCUUCUCCUGUAUCUACUUUAUUUGCUGAAGAUUUCAACAAGAAGCACUUUAGAGCAGGGUAUAACAUGGAUAGUCAUAAUUCUGGCUUAGCUGCUGAAACUAGUGAAGAAAGUUCAUUUCCAACCUCUACAAAUUUAAAUAUGCCUCUAACAAGGAAGUAUUGUGUCAGCUAGAGAAUUGCUAGUUCAACUGACCCAGUCAGAAGCAGUUUUCCUCCUCCAUCUUCAACUUCAGUUGGAUCAUCAGACCAAAUUGCCACAGAUCAACAUGCUAUUUUAAAUCAGUUGACCAAUAUUCAUAUGCACUCUCAUAGCAGCUACAUGCAAACAAAUGGACACAUUGUGAAUUUUGUUACAACCACAACUUCUCAAUACCACAUCACACCUCCCUUACAGAAUAGCUUUUUGGGGCUGCCAGUGGAACAACUACUUUUCCAACCAGAUAUUUUGAGGUAUCAGUCAAUGAGGCUCCUUAUCCUAACCUGCCACCAGCAGGCAACCAGUGGUUCCAAAUGCCUAUGACAUUUGAUACAUCGGCUGCCUGUCUUUUCAGGCCAUCUCAUCAACCGUCUUCACUGGACAAAUAUCACCCUAAUUACAAC